rnacentral:rRNA from 1 species
CAGCAGCCGCGGUAAUACGAAGGGUGCAAGCGUUAAUCGGAAUUACUGGGCGUAAAGCGUGCGUAGGCGGUUUGUUAAGUCUGUUGUGAAAUCCCCGGGCUCAACCUGGGAAUGGCAAUGGAUACUGGCAAGCUAGAGUGUGUCAGAGGAUGGUGGAAUUCCCGGUGUAGCGGUGAAAUGCGUAGAGAUCGGGAGGAACAUCUGUGGCGAAGGCGGCCAUCUGGGACAACACUGACGCUGAGGCACGAAAGCGUGGGGAGCAAACAGGAUUAGAUACCCGCGUAGUCCCUGUCUCUUAUAC